rnacentral:rRNA from 1 species
GUGCGAAUGCUGACAUAAGUAACGAUAAUGCGGGUGAAAAACCCGCACGCCGGAAGACCAAGGGUUCCUGUCCAACGUUAAUCGGGGCAGGGUGAGUCGACCCCUAAGGCGAGGCCGAAAGGCGUAGUCGAUGGGAAACGGGUUAAUAUUCCCGUACCUGGUGUUACUGCGAAGGGGGGACGGAGAAGGCUAUGUUGGCCGGGCGACGGUUGUCCCGGUUUAAGCGUGCAGGUGUGUGUUCCAGGAAAAUCCGGUUCACUUUAACACUGAGGCGUGACGACGAGGCACUACGGUGCUGAAGCAACAAAUGCCCUGCUUCCAGGAAAAGCCUCUAAGCCUCAGGUAACAUCAGAUCGUACCCGAAACCGACACAGGUGGUCAGGUAGAGAAUACCAAGGCGCUUGAGAGAACCCGGGUGAAGGAACUAGGCAAAAUGGUGCCGUAACUUCGGGAGAAGGCACGCUGACAUGUAGGUGAAGCGGUUUACCCGUGGAGCUGAAGUCAGUCGAAGAUACCAGCUGGCUGCAACUGUUUAUUAAAAACACAGCACUGUGCAAACACGAAAGUGGACGUAUACGGUGUGACGCCUGCCCGGUGCCGGAAGGUUAAUUGAUGGGGUCAGCGCAAGCGAAGCUCCUGAUCGAAGCCCCGGUAAACGGCGGCCGUAACUAUAACGGUCCUAAGGUAGCGAAAUUCCUUGUCGGGUAAGUUCCGACCUGCACGAAUGGCGUAAUGAUGGCCAGGCUGUCUCCACCCGGGACUCAGUGAAAUUGAACUCGCUGUGAAGAUGCAGUGUACCCGCGGCAAGACGGAAAGACCCCGUGAACCUUUACUAUAGCUUGACACUGAACACUGGUCCUUGAUGUGCAGGAUAGGUGGGAGGCUUUGAAGUGUGGACGCCAGUCUGCAUGGAGCCGUCCUUGAAAUACCACCCUUUAAUGGCUGGUGUUCUAACGUAGACCCGUGAACCGGGUUGCGGACAGUGUCUGGUGGGUAGUUUGACUGGGGCGGUCUCCUCCUAAAGCGUAACGGAGGAGCACGAAGGUUGGCUAAUCCUGGUCGGACAUCAGGAGGUUAGUGCAAUGGCAUAAGCCAGCUUGACUGCGAGCGUGACGGCGCGAGCAGGUGCGAAAGCAGGU